UGCAGUCGAGCGGCAGCACGGGUACUUGUACCUGGUGGCGAGCGGCGGACGGGUGAGUAAUGCCUAGGAAUCUGCCUGGUAGUGGGGGAUAACGCUCGGAAACGGACGCUAAUACCGCAUACGUCCUACGGGAGAAAGCAGGGGACCUUCGGGCCUUGCGCUAUCAGAUGAGCCUAGGUCGGAUUAGCUAGUUGGUGAGGUAAUGGCUCACCAAGGCGACGAUCCGUAACUGGUCUGAGAGGAUGAUCAGUCACACUGGAACUGAGACACGGUCCAGACUCCUACGGGAGGCAGCAGUGGGGAAUAUUGGACAAUGGGCGAAAGCCUGAUCCAGCCAUGCCGCGUGUGUGAAGAAGGUCUUCGGAUUGUAAAGCACUUUAAGUUGGGAGGAAGGGCAGUUACCUAAUACGUGAUUGUUUUGACGUUACCGACAGAAUAAGCACCGGCUAACUCUGUGCCAGCAGCCGCGGUAAUACAGAGGGUGCAAGCGUUAAUCGGAAUUACU
rnacentral:rRNA from 1 species